rnacentral:rRNA from 1 species
AUUGAACGCUGGCGGCAUGCCUUACACAUGCAAGUCGAACGGUAACAGGUCUUCGGAUGCUGACGAGUGGCGGACGGGUGAGUAAUACAUCGGAACGUGCCUAGUAGUGGGGGAUAACUACUCGAAAGAGUGGCUAAUACCGCAUGAGAUCUACGGAUGAAAGCAGGGGAUCGCAAGACCUUGUGCUACUAGAGCGGCCGAUGGCAGAUUAGGUAGUUGGUGGGAUAAAAGCUUACCAAGCCGACGAUCUGUAGCUGGUCUGAGAGGACGAUCAGCCACACUGGGACUGAGACACGGCCCCGACUCCUACGGGAGGCAGCAGUGGGGAAUUUUGGACAAUGGGCGCAAGCCUGAUCCAGCAAUGCCGCGUGCAGGAUGAAGGCCUUCGGGUUGUAAACUGCUUUUGUACGGUACGAAAAGCCCUGGGUUAAUACCCUGGGGUCAUGACGGUACCGUAAGAAUAAGCACCGGCUAACUACGUGCCAGCCGCCGCAGUAA